AGCCCAAGCCCCUGCCUGCACGGGUUAUGUUAUUCGGGCCCUAAUGGUCUGUACAAGUGUGUCUGUAACCAGGGAUGGGCAGGUGUUGACUGUGAUCAAAGCGCUAUCUCAACAACGACUGCUCCCGAUCCUUGUUUGCCAAACCCUUGCAUACAUGGCACGUGCACGAGUCAGGGCACCCAUGUCACAUGCGCCUGUCAAAGUGGUUAUACGGGUUCCAACUGCAAUCAAGUGUCAGACCCAUGUCAGCCAGAUCCAUGUUUGCACGGCUCAUGUUUUUCCAGUGGC